CAGGCUCAUCGACUGUAGUCAGUGCAAGAGGGCCAACUGACAAAUACGGCUGUGUAAGAUGGCAGCCUGACUUUCCCACAGAAGAAACUUUGGAGGCAAACCGUAAGGAAAUGGAGCAGCUUUAUUCCAGAGAUGGGCCAGCAGAAGGUAACAGAGGACAAUUCUAGCAGCUCAUGCAAGCAAUAUUUUACUUACAGCGCUGUGCCAUCAACGCUAGCCCAGCACCUAAGAUAGCCGAGCUGAGGAGUAAGUGGCCGUACCUUUUCACACACAAGGUUUGAAAAGGAUGGAGCGAAUGCAGUUGGCCUUGUGUUGUCCUCCUGCUGAUGGUCCAUUUCAAAGGAAGGGCGGAUGCACUCCUACAGGCCAAGGUGUCAGCCACAGCCACAGAUGUGGAGGGAUUAAUUCCCCUGCCGGACUCACCAAGACUGAUUGUUCAAGGUGACACAAUGGCUGCUGCCAAAUGGAUGAUAAGCAUGGAGAAGAGGGUCAUGAUGUCGGCCCAUUCCAACUUUGUGGCAGCGCUGGCAGCUUUUUCUUUGCCUCAUUCUACACCUUCAAUCUGCAGUACCGAGGAGGAGGCUUCACGCAACUUAGAGUUCAUCCAAAGAUGUUUUGCUGGAAUCAAUCCAUCCACAGGCUCGAUGACCGCCACAGCAGAGGUCGUCAGCAAGAAAACACAAAGUAGUGGAGAAGAAGAGACACAAUUAAUGUACGUCUGUACUCUGCUCAGGAAGAUAAUGGACUUUUAACAACUAUAGACUAGUUCCUCCUGGGCAAACAUUUCAGUUAUUUUAGUCAAUUGUGAAUUGCUCAAGUAAGUUUGGUUUGUCACUGGGGUAGACUCUUUUCUUGUGUUUUACACCUUAAGUGUUUGAAAAUGAUUCAGUAUGAACUGAAAUGGACACAUUGUUGAGGAAGUAAUGCUACUUUGGAUGUUUGGAAAUGUCUGGCAUUUACUCAACUUGAGUAGGCAACCCUUAUUAAAGCUUGAGUAUGUAGUUUUGGGAAGGGCAUAAUUAGAAAUCUGUGAAUAAGACAAAAUAUCCAUCGAGAUCUUUUCUAACCAUUAUGUCACAUAAUUAAAAAGUCCAAUGACCCUUACCAAUACUACAUACUCUGCGUUUAACCUGGGAGUGAAGGUAAGGACAAGCCUGCUAUGAUACGUUUGGCUCAUCUCUGGUGUCGGAGAACAGCCGUCUGACAGAGCUGGAUCUCAGCUACAACAAACUGACAGACACCGGGGUGGAGAGGAAGUCCACUGGGUUUAUGAAUCCACACUGUAAACUGAAGAUACUGAGGUGGGAUAUUUAUCACAAGUGUUUCUAAUUUGCAUUUACAUUUACAUUUAAGUCAUUUAGCAGACGCUCUUAUCCAGAGCGACUUACAGCGACUAAUAAUGUCAAUCGUUCAUUUAGGACCAUGUCACCACUUUAGAAGAAAUGACUGUGAUUCCAUAUUUGACUCAUGACAUUGUUUAGGUUUAGGGAGACCUCUGGUUUUGUACUGAAGGGGUUUGGCUGCUGUUGUGACCUGACUUUAUUGUCCUUCUGUUGCACCUCACUGUUUCAUUACUGGCAGAUGCAGAUCCAUUGGUAGUGUUAAUGUCGCGACAGUUCGUUUCUGGUAACAGAACAAAAUAGUCAGCACAUAGUAACUUCUGAUUUAGCUGUACUUUAAUUAAUGCAAACACGUGUGUGGUAUAUGUGUGGUUCAUAUAUAUACGGUCUCGCUGUUUUACCUCGCAGGGCAAAACAGAGAAGAGAGCGACACAUCCUAUUGUUCUCUCUUUUAUACUCUAACAGAGAUAGUUCCCGCUCAAUGCUGGCCUGUCCGAGAGAGGAGGAGCGUGGUUAAAACUUGCUCCUCCUGUCGUCGGCGUGAAGGCUGAUCCCAGCGUCGUGACGCACUUCCUGUUGCCGGUUGUAGUUCUUCUUGUCUUCAGUUGAUUUACUCGCAGUUCAUAUACUUAAUAUUGUAGCAUAGCUUCCCCAGUGUAUUAUAAAGGUUAUGCAUUCAAAUAGCCAGUUCAACCCUAACAAUAGCAAUGAUAACCAAUAAUGAUUCAUGUCAAUAAAGCUUUGCUACUGAACUGUUGUGUCUAAUCUGUCUACUUAGACGUAACGUCUCAUCAAUGCACAGUUAACGUUGAUAUACACUGCUCAACAAAAAUAAAGGGAACACUUAAACAGCACAAUGUAACUCCAAGUCAAUCACUCUUCUGUGAAAUCAAACUGUCCACUUAGGAAGCAACACUGAUUGACAAUACAUUUCACAUGCUGUUGUGCAAAUGGAAUAGACAACAGGUGGAAAUUAUAGGCAAUUAGCAAGACACCCCCAAUAAAGGAGUGGUUUUGCAGGUGGGGACCACAGACCACUUCUCAGUUCCUAUGCUUCCUGGCUGAUGUUUUGGUCACUUUUGAAUGCUGGCGGU
rnacentral:lncRNA from 8 species